UCCACGGCGCCGCGGCGGCAGCGACGGACAAGGAGUAUACGUGCGCGCUGAGCUACGCGGCGCUGCGGUACUAGGCUCAGCACGCACACGCGGCGAUGGAGAAGGCGACGGCGCACAGCUGCCAACUGUGCGCGGCGGCGUUCGGCGAGCAGGAGCACCUGAACCAGCGUCUGCGCUCGCACGGCGGCGUUCGGCGAGCAGGAGCACCUGAACCAGCACCUGCGCUCGCAGACGGCGAUGGCGAACACAUACAUGUGCCAGAGGAAGACGGCCACUACUGAACUACAUUGACUGCAUUGCAAGGAGUAUCCAGCAUGACAUAGGGGACAUGCAGACACUGAUGAUGGACACAUAUUCAUGGCAUGGCAUUGUGAACUCUAUUCCGGAUGCGUCCGCUGAGUAGUAGUAGUAGUAGUAUGUAUACCUAUAGUAUACCUAUAGUGUAUUAUUAGCCCUUGAUAGUAUUGAUGAGCUACGUGUUGCAGUAUAUAUGUGGGUAUUUCUACAUGGAUCGUAAUCAGAGGUCGUAGCAUCAAAUGUGCCGGCCUAUCCAUCUAUCGUCAUUGCUCUAUUGACUGGUUCAUUUUUGUGCCCGUGCCCAGAGAGAAUAUACAGCAAUAGAUAAAUAGAC